rnacentral:rRNA from 1 species
AUUGAACGCUGGCGGCAUGCUUUACACAUGCCAGUCGAACGGCAGCGCGGGGCAACCUGGCGGCGAGUGGCGAACGGGUGAGUAAUAUAUCGGAACGUACCCAGAAGUGGGGGAUAACGUAGCGAAAGUUACGCUAAUACCGCAUACGAUCUACGGAUGAAAGUAGGGGACCGCAAGGCCUUAUGCUUUUGGAGCGGCCGAUAUCUGAUUAGCUAGUUGGUGAGGUAAAGGCUCACCAAGGCGACGAUCAGUAGCUGGUCUGAGAGGACGACCAGCCACACUGGAACUGAGACACGGUCCAGACUCCUACGGGAGGCAGCAGUGGGGAAUUUUGGACAAUGGGCGCAAGCCUGAUCCAGCAAUGCCGCGUGAGUGAAGAAGGCCUUCGGGUUGUAAAGCUCUUUUGUCAGGGAAGAAACGGUAGAGGCUAAUAUCCUGUGCUAAUGACGGUACCUGAAGAAUAAGCACCGGCUAACUACGUG